rnacentral:rRNA from 1 species
AAUCAACGCUGGCGGCGUGCCUCAGACAUGCAAGUCGAACGCGAAAGGCCCCUUCGGGGGCCCGGUAGAGUGGCGCACGGGUGAGUAACACGUAGGUAAUUUGCCUUCGGGUGGGGAAGUAACAGCCGGAAACGGACUGCUAAUACCGCAUAAUGCAGCGGCUCGACAUCGAGACAGUUGUUAAAGCGGGGGAUCGCAAGACCUCGCGCCUGAAGAGAAGCCUGCGGCAGAUAGCUUGUUGGUGAGGUAAUGGCUCACCAAGGCGACGAUCUGUAACCGGCCUGAGAGGGCGGUCGGUCACACUGACACUGACAUACGGGUCAGACUCCUACGGGAGGCAGCAGU